UGUUGAUAAUGUGGACAGUCCUGAAAAAGAUCUUUGAACCUCUCCCAUGCAUGAUAUAAGUUCUCAUCUAGCUUCUAUCUGAAGCUCACAAUAUCAUUAUACAAUCU
rfam:Capsicum annuum cultivar Zunla-1 chromosome 2, whole genome shotgun sequence